UACGGGGGGGGCAAGCGUUGUUCGGAAUUACUGGGCGUAAAGGGCUCGUAGGUGGCCAACUAAGUCGGACGUGAAAUCCCUCGGCUUAACCGGGGAACUGCGUCUGAUACUGGAUGGCUUGAGGUUGGGAGAGGGAUGCGGAAUUCCAGGUGUAGCGGUGAAAUGCGUAGAUAUCUGGAGGAACACCGGUGGCGAAGGCGACGUCCUGGACCGGCAUUGACGCUGAGGCGCGAAAGCGUGGGGAGCGAACAGG
rnacentral:rRNA from 1 species